CAGCCGCGGUAAUUCCAGCUCCAAUAGCGUAUAUUAAAGUUGUUGUGGUUAAAAAGCUCGUAGUUGGAUCUCAACAGCCUUGAAGCGGUUAACUUUGUAGUUUUACUGCUUUAUAGGCUGUGCUUUUGCUGGAGGUUUAGGGGUGCUCUUGAUCGAGUGUCUCUGGAUGCCAGCAGGUUUACUUUGAAAAAAUUAGAGUGCUCAAAGCAGGCUAAAAUGCCUGAAUAUUCGUGCAUGGAAUAAUAGAAUAGGAUGUCGAUCCUAUUUUGUUGGUUUUCGGGACUCGACAUAAUGAUAAAUAGGGACAGUCGGGGGCAUUUGUAUUCAAACGACAGAGGUGAAAUUCUUGGACCGUUUGAAGACAAACUACUGCGAAAGCAUUUGCCAAGAAUGUUUUCAUUAAUCAAGAACGAAAGUUAGAGGUUCGAAGGCGAUUAGAUACCGCCCUAGUUCUAACCAUAAACGAUGCCAGCUAGCGAUCUGCCUGCGUUUUUACUGUAGACUGGGCAGGAAGCUUCCGGGAAACCAAAGCAUUUGGGUUCCAGGGGAAGUAUGGUUGCAAAGCUGAAACUUAAAGGAAUUGACGGAAGGGCACCACCAGGAGUGGAGCCUGUGGCUUAAUUUGACUCAACACGGGAAAUCUCACCAGGCCCGGACACUGGAAGGAUUGACAGAUUGAUAGCUCUUUCUUGAUUCGGUGGGUGGUGGUGCAUGGCCGUUCUUAGUUGGUGGAGUGAUUUGUCUGGUUAAUUCCGAUAACGAACGAGACUCUGUCCUGCUAAAUAGUUUCUACUUCUCUUUUGAGUAGAAAUUUCUUCUUAGAGGGACUGGUGACUCUUAGUCACACGAGAUUGAGCAAUAACAGGUCUGUGAUG
rnacentral:rRNA from 1 species